rnacentral:rRNA from 1 species
AUGUUCUCUGGUAUAGUUCCUGCCAACCUUAGCUUCUGCACCGGCUUGACAACCCUCAUUCUCCACUACAAUCAGCUCAACGGUCACAUCCCAGUUGAUAUUGGCGAUACUCUGACACACCUACAGGGACUCUCACUGAUGGAAAACACCUUCACCGGGUUUAUUCCAGCGUCUCUGGCUAACCUGUCAUCACUGCAUGCUGUAUCUCUCAAGCGCAACCUGCUCCAUGGCCCCAUCCUGGACAGCCUUGGCAAACUCGCAGGCCUGCAAUUCCUCAACUUUGAGGACAACAGACUCUCCGGUGUGAUUCCACCCUCCUUGUACAACUUGUCAUCACUGACAAACUUUGCCGUUGGUGGGAACAAGCUGCAUGGCAACAUUCCUGCCGAUAUAGGAGACAGAUUUCCCAUGAUACAAGAAUUUAGCCUUGAUGAUAACCAGUUCAGCGGAGCCAUUCCUUCUUCAAUAUCCAAUCUCACUACACUGGAAGGGUUAUGGCUCUCACAGAACAGAUUUAGUGGAUUUGUGCCUCCUCGUCUGGGGAGGCUGCAAUCUCGUAUUUUGUUCCUGCAUGAGACAAAUGUUGAAGCAAAUGACAGAGAGGGUUCGGAGUUCAUCACUUCAAUGGCAAACUGCAGUCAGCUGAGAAUCCUACUUAUCGGCAACAACUCUUUCAGUGGACGACUGCCAAGUUCAAUAGCGAACCUCUCGACAACUCUCGAUUCCCUUUACUUAGGUUACAAUAACAUCUCUGGACAUAUCCCCUCAGAUGUUGGCAAUCUUGUAGGCCUUAGCAUACUCGAGAUAGGGCAUACCUUCAUGUCUGGAGGGAUACCAGAGAGCAUUGGGAAAUUAGUGAACUUAGUUCAGCUGUACUGGGAUAAUAAUAGCUUUUCAGGCCUCAUACCCCCUUCUAUUGGUAAUCUCACACAGCUGGAAUGGCUACUUGCGCCCAACAAUAGCCUAGAAGGGCCUAUUCCGGCAAACCUUGGAACACUGGAAAAUCUUCAAAUUCUUGAUCUGUCCAUGAAUUACAAACUGAAUGGCUCGAUUCCUAAGGAGAUACUGGGGUUGACUUCCCUUUCUUCUCAGUUGGAUCUGUCAUACAACUCAUUAUCUGGACCUCUUCCUUCAGAGGUUGGUCGACUGCACAAUCUCAACAAGCUUAUUCUGCCAGGAAACCAUUUGUCCGGUGAGAUACCUGAUAGUAUAGGAAACUGCAUAGUGUUGGAAUUCCUGUUGCUGGACAGGAACUCUUUCGAAGGAAGCAUGCCUCAGUCUUUUGGGAAUAUAAAAGGGCUCCGUGUCUUGAACCUGACAAUGAACAAGUUGUCUGGUGCGAUACCUGAUACGCUUGGAAGCAUGCACGACCUAGAACAAUUGUAUCUGGCACGAAACAACUUCUCAGGGCCAAUCCCGGCAGUUAUUCAGGAUUUGACCUUGCUGUCGAAAAUGGAUGUGUCCUUCAACAACCUGCAAGGUGAAAUGCCAAAAGGAGGUGUUUUCAGAAAUCUAACUUACAUAUCAGUUGCUGGAAAUAGUAUGUUAUGUGGUGGAAUACCUCAGCUUCACUUGGCUCCAUGCUCCACCAACCAAACAGGCAAAAAUAAAAGAAAGUGGUCAAAAUCAAUUACAAUAGCUCUUGCAACAACAGGACCAAUAUUGUUGAUCAUUUCAGUGGUCUUCCUUACUCACAUUUUCUGCAAGAAGACGACACGAGGACAGAAGGGCCAAUUGCCGCCGAUGCUUAUCGGGGAGAAAUAUCAGAGAGUCUCUUACCAUGCAUUGUCAGCAGGAACUAAUGGCUUUUCAGAAGAGAACUUGCUUGGGAAAGGAAGAUACGGUGUUGUAUACAAGUGCAUUAUGGAUGACGAAGAUACAAGUACAACCGUGGCUGUAAAGGUUUUUAACCUUCAACAAUCAGGAUCUUCCAGGAGCUUUGACAUCGAGUGUGAGGCGUUGAGGCUAGUGCGUCAUCGUUGCCUUUUAAAUAUUAUCACUUGUUGCUCGAGCAUAGACCCCCAAGGGCAAGAGUUCAAGGCACUAGUUUUUGAGUUCAUGCCUAAUGGUAGUUUGGAAGAUUGGCUUCAUCCAAAAUCUGAAGAACUCACUUUAAGUAAUACGCUCAGCCUAGCUCAGAGGCUAGACAUUGUUGUUGAUGUUGCUGACGCAGUUGAAUAUCUUCAUAACCACUGUGAACCAUCAAUCAUCCAUUGUGACCUCAAGCCAAGGAAUAUUCUUCUUGCAGAGGACAUGAGCGCCCGUGUUGGAGAUUUUGGCAUCUCAAAAGUACUUGGCGAAAGCAGAAUUGGCAAUCAAAAUAAUUCAAAUAGCACAAUUGGGAUAAGAGGUAGCAUUGGAUAUGUUGCUCCAGAGUACGGGGAAGGCUCUGCUGUCUCGACUGCUGGUGAUGUGUUUAGUCUUGGCAUAUUGUUGCUUGAGAUGUUUACUGGAAGGAACCCAACGGAUGACAUGUUCAAAGACUCACUGAAUCUGCACAAGUUUGCUGACGAUGCUCUCGGCGACAAAACAUUAGAGAUAUCUGAUUCAACAAUUUGGCUACACCCAGAACUAAAUGCUAGUAUUGCAAGUAACAGAAUCAAGGAAUGCUUGAUUUCCAUCUUCAGAAUCGGCAUAUCCUGUUCAAAGCAACAACCAAAAGACAGAAUGCUGAUAAGAGACGCCGCAGUACAGAUGCACGCAAUCAGAGAUGAAUACCUCAUGUUUUCAACUGAAUUAUAUGUAACCUAA